CAAUUUAUUUUUGUACUUUUUUUAAGGGGGGGUCAUUAUUUUAUAUUCUAUAAACCAUAUGAUAUAUCUUGGGUUAUUUCAAAUAAAUAUCUGAUAUUCAAACAGAAAAGAAUGGAUAAUAUUACUAGUACAAGUUUAUCAACAAGGAUAUGCUAUUUAGUAAAUCGAUUUUAGUGGUCUCUUUUAAAAUUAAAAAAUCGGUGAGAUCAAUAUGCUACAACCAACCA
rnacentral:lncRNA from 1 species